rnacentral:misc_RNA from 1 species
UUUCCGUAGGUGAACCUGCGGAAGGAUCAUUACAUUCAGUAGCCUAGCUACUUGUUUACACCCUUGUUUUUACGUACCUAUUGUUUCCUCGGCGGGCUUGCUCGCCGGUUGGACAAAACUAUAACCUUUUUUAAAUCUUCAAUCAGCGUCUGAACAAUAUACAAUAAUUACAACUUUCAACAACGGAUCUCUUGGUUCCAGCAUCGAUGAAGAACGCAGC